rnacentral:rRNA from 1 species
GAUGAACGCUAGCGGCAGGCCUAACACAUGCAAGUCGAGGGGUAACUAGAGUGAUAGCAAUAUUACUUUGGCUAGACCGGCGCACGGGUGCGUAACACGUAUGCAACCUACCUUAUACUGGGGAAUAACUUCGAGAAAUCGGCGCUAAUACCCCAUAACAUUGCGAAGAGGCAUCUCUUUGCAAUUAAAGCUCCGGCGGUAUAAGAUGGGCAUGCGUCCAAUUAGCUAGUUGGGGAGGUAACGGCUCACCAAGGCUACGAUUGGUAGGGGUUUUGGGAGGAUGAUCCCCCACACUGGUGCUGAGACACGGACCAGACUCCUACGGGAGGCAGCAGUGAGGAAUAUUGCGCAAUGGACGGAAGUCUGACGCAGCCAUGCCGCGUGCAGGAUGACGGCCCUAUGGGUUGUAAACUGCUUUUGUACGGGAAUAAACCCUUCUACGUGUAGGAGGCUGAAGGUACCGUAAGAAUAAGCACCGGCUAACUCCGUGCCAGCCGCCGCGGUAA